rnacentral:rRNA from 1 species
AACGAACGCUGGCGGCAGGCUUAACACAUGCAAGUCGAACGGUUGUAGCAAUACAGCAGUGGCGCACGGGUGAGUAACGCGUGGGAACGUGCCCUUUAGUUCGGAAUAACGUCGGGAAACUGACGCUAAUACCGGAUACGCCCUUCGGGGGAAAGAUUUAUCGCUAAAGGAUCGGCCCGCGUUAGAUUAGGUAGUUGGUGGGGUAAUGGCCUACCAAGCCUACGAUCUAUAGCUGGUCUGAGAGGAUGAUCAGCCACACUGGAACUGAGACACGGUCCAGACUCCUACGGGAGGCAGCAGUGGGGAAUAUUGGACAAUGGGCGAAAGCCUGAUCCAGCCAUGCCGCGUGAGUGAUGAAGGCCUUAGGGUUGUAAAGCUCUUUUAUCCGGGAAGAUGAUGACGGUACCGGAAGAAUAAGCUCCGGCUAACUUCGUGCCAGCAGCCGCCGUAA